GGUGAACCAGCGGAGGGAUCAUU
rnacentral:rRNA from 14 species